rnacentral:rRNA from 1 species
AUUGAACGCUGGCGGCAUGCCUUACACAUGCAAGUCAAACGGCAGCACGGGUGCUUGCACCUGGUGGCGAGUGGCGAACGGGUGAGUAAUACAUCGGAACGUACCUUAUCGUGGGGGAUAACGCAGCGAAAGCUGUGCUAAUACCGCAUACGCCCUGAGGGGGAAAGCGGGGGAUCGAUAGACCUCGCGCGAUUAGAGCGGCCGAUGCCUGAUUAGCUUGUUGGUGGGGUAAAAGCCCACCAAGGCGACGAUCAGUAGCUGGUCUGAGAGGACGAUCAGCCACACUGGGACUGAGAGACGGCCCAGACUCCUACGGGAGGCAGCAGUGGGGAAUUUUGGACAAUGGGGGCAACCCUGAUCCAGCAAUGCCGCGUGAGUGAAGAAGGCCUUCGGGUUGUAAAGCUCUUUUGUCAGGGAAGGAACACCGGCUCUAACACAGUCCGGGAAUGACGGUACCUGAAGAAUAAGCACCGGCUAACUACGUGCCAGCCGCCGCGGUAA